CUCAUUUUUCUUCUUCCUUUAGUCGCCGCCGUUCGUGUGUUUCGGCUAGCCAGAUCCCGCCGGUCAGACACGCCGCUAGUCGCCCAGCUCUCCAGACUACCGCCGCUCGAGCCCAAGCUGGUCUCCACACCGCUCGCUUUGUAAGCUUCUGCCUAGCCGACUCCUUCGCCGCACGUCCGUCACUCUCAGCCCGACCAGAUUCAAGCCGUCGACGUCCUCCUCCGCCCAAUCAUCUGAUCCGUGUGACCCACCGUCGAAUCCAAUUGACCGCCUCCCUCGCGCCGUGCGACGCCGCUCACCGUUCGUAGGGUGCAGUCGCGCCACCGUGAGUCACCUAGCCUCGUCAGCUGCCAAAUCUAAGUCGAAGCUCCCCCAGGCACACUACCCAGCCUUCAAUCGCCGCCCAGAUCGGAAGUCGGAUGUUUACUGCGCGUCGCGCUUCUGCAUAAACCCAGUUGCUCACGUCCGUUCCAUUUUCGUCCGAUUCUCCUCAGCCGCGUCUCCGACUGUCGAACCCCAAUGGUACCGCUCGCCAACCCGCGCUGGUCUCCGUGGGUUGUAGGUCGUCGCCCAAAGUCUCAAGUUCCACUGUCAUUCAUGCCCAGAUCCAAAGACCCACACCUAGAUGGCCACCACUAUGCCUCACAUUUGGGUCGCUCGUCGUCAAUCACGUAAGGGUGCUUCGGAUUCGUCGUUUCUCAUCAUUUUUGCUGCACAGUAAGGGUCGUCGGCACUUGUGGAUUUGGGGCUUUGAAGUUAAAAGUGUGCUGUCAAGAGGAUUUGGAUGUGGUUUUAACAAGCUUUUGGUUGUCAUAUAAAAGAUUGGAAUUGAAGGUUCAAAGCGGCUGUCCAUCGAGAGUAAAGGUUGGAUUUGUGACCAGAGUUGUUGGGUUGUUUUUAUUUUGUAGCAUGGGGUGAUGUUCAAAACAACACACUUUGGGCCUGAUUCAAGAUUCAUCUAAGCUAGAAGGAAGAUUAUUUUGCUUGUCGCUUAAACAUAAUUUUGAGUAGAGAUGCACCGGCGAUGGCGUAGCGGAAUUCAUGAUCGAGCCACUGUGACUAGUUUUUA